GAUGAAGAACGUAGCGAAAUGCGAUAAGUAAUGUGAAUUGCAGAAUUCAGUGAAUCAUCGAAUCUUUGAACGCGCAUUGCGCCCGCCAGUAUUCUGGCGGGCAUGCCUGUUCGAGCGUCAUUUCAACCCUCAAGCCCCCGGGCUUGGUGUUGGGGAUCGGCGUGCCCUCGCGGCGCGCCGUCCCCUAAAUCUAGUGGCGGUCUCGCUGUAGCUUCCUCUGCGUAGUAGCAACACUCGCCCUGGAUCGCAGCGCGGCCACGCCGUUAAACCCCCCACUUCUGAAAGUUUGACCUCGGAUCAGGUAGGAAUACCCGCUGAACUUAAGCAUAUCAAUAAGCGGAGGA
rnacentral:misc_RNA from 1 species